rnacentral:ncRNA from 1 species
GUUCAAACGAGGAAAGGCUUACGGUGGAUACCUAGGCACCCAGAAGCGAGGAAGGGCGUAGUAAGCGAUGAAAUGCUUUGGGGAUUUGAAAAUAAGCGUGGAUCUAGAGAUUCUCGAAUAGGUCAACCUUUCGAACUGCUACUGAAUCCAUGGGCAAACAAGAGACAACCUGGCAAAUUGAAACAUCUUAGUAGCCGGAGGAAAAGAAAGCAAAAGCAAUUCCUAUAGUAGUGGCGAGCAAAAUGGGAGUAGCCUAACAAUUAGAUGAUUUAAAUUAAUCAUUUCUGGAGAAUUAGGCAGUCUUCCUGAACAGACCUUUUAUUUGUUAGGUAAUGUGACACCCCUAAUUUGACCCUAGUCGAAAAGUGGUUUCGGGACCACAAAAUCGAGUCAUAAAAAUAAUUA